UGCAAGUGCAAGAGUGAACCAUUGGCAGCGGGAGAGCGAGGCAAAGGCAGAGAUGAGCCUUUCAGGCAGGCACGGCUCCGUGCGGGAGAGCCAAGGCACCCGUGUGCUGCCAGGAAGGAGCUCCUGGCUCUGCCCCGCAGGCAGCUCGGAGCCUGCUGGUGCCAGCAGGCAGCAAUUGUCCCAGAGCAGAAUCUCGCAUCGCUCCUGUCAUUGUGCACGCUCGGUGCGCUCCUGCAUCCGGCCCUCCCUUCAGAGCAGGCAGAGGAAUGGGCUGGAGGGAGGAACCCGGGGAGAACUGGGCUGGCACUGGAGCUCUUUGGAGCCUGACUUCUGCCUUCCCAGCUACCCAUGCUCGACACUCUUGGAGGAGUAACUUUCUUGAACUGAAAUAGCUGCUCACUAGUACUUUAGUUUCCUUUUUUUUUUCCUUUCUAUUUUUAAAGUAAGGUUAUUUGCCAGUGGAUUGGCAGAACAGUUUUUGACUCUAGUUUUGUGAGCAAUGUUGUGACUGUCACAUAUUUGGAGCAACUCUGCACGAGAUGCUUGGAAAGGGAAUGCACGGAAGCAUUUUGAAAUGGUAAACUGGAAGAACUAUGGACUGCAGAACUGCAUCAGAGUGUCACAGCUGGGGAAAGCCCCUUGAGAGACUUGGCACCUCUGUGUGAUGAAAUCCAUAUACUGGCUGUGGUUACAGGGCUGAGCAAAACACAGAGCAGAUGAAGAGAUACAGAAACACGCCUUCAUUUGUCUGAAGUCUUUGUUUGACUAAGUGGAAGCAGCACAUCAGACUUUUAUUGCUCCUUUUCUCCAUUUUUGAACUGUGGCUGAGGGUGGCUGAGCUUUCCCAAUCAGCAGUAACAGGUACCAGGCUCCAUGGCUGUUACUUUGACGAAACCGAUGCCAUCAUCUGACACCAAUCAGCUGCAUCAAUGAUAAAGGAGCAACUUCAUUGUCUUGCCAUGGGUAUGUACAGCUCAUGGGACCAUAAAAAACUCUCUCUGUAAAGGCUCAGAGCUUUCCCCUUCCGGGCAUGGUUGGAGCCAAGAGACUGAAUGAACUAUCCACGCCUUGCAGCAUUUUCUUCCAUGCUCUAUCAGCCUCUGCAGCAGAAGAGCCAGAAGAAAAUAUGGAUACAUUGGUGCUUUUAUAUUGCUGUCUGCCUCUGGUUAUAGCAGGGAGCUAUAGCAGAAGGGAAGCAGUAACAGAAUGAACUGGUGCCUAGACAAGCUCAUGAAAAGAAUUGUAUCUAGGAAUGGCGAAAUGGGGCCUGCUGUACCACACACUGGAGCUGACAGAGUUGUAGGUCUGAGAACUCUGCAUAGUGAGUGCAAGAAUGUACUUCCACAAACAAGGCUGCCAUUUUUAAAAGAGCCACAGAAACCUGCGGGUUGCUGCACAGUGACCUCUUCUAGAAGUUAUAGACCAGUACCCGUGCAGCACAAUGUGAUCCAGGACCCUUCACACAGUUUGGGUAAAGUGACUUUUAAUGCUCUCUGUUAGUGACUGCCCUUUGAUGUUACUCUUGAUGUUUGAAAACUCGAUGCUUGUGUUUCUGCUCCUUUGGUCUUUGUGGAAAUGAAAAAUAUUUUACCACUCUUGCAAAAUUACGCACUUCAGAUGUACUUUGAUAAUUUUUUGCAGGAGUUUUAUGAGCCCUCUCACCAAUUUCCAGGGUCCGCAGACUUACUUAUCAAGAUCCACUUCAAGACCUCAGACUGAAGCCAGCUAAGGCAAAUGUGUAUUUCUGCAAGAUGCUUCAUGAGUGCUUCUAGCUUUACCUGAAAACAAAAUACCUUGACAGCUUUGCCACUUGUCUAAUCUCACACCUGCCCAUUCCACAACUAGAUUGCUGCUGUCCUCCUGUGGGUCCCCUCUAUCCCAUAUCCUCCCUGGGGAGCAUCUUAUCCUGCCUUCAUCCCCCAAAAUCUGACUCCCUGCAGGCCUGACAGGGCAGCAGCCCCUCAGUCCAGCCCCACAGCCGUCAUUGUCAUGGUGAAUCAGCAGCUUGAAUACCAGGUCAGUUCUCACUCAUGUGCAACUCCUUCUGUCCUGGGGAAGUUCCCAGGACCCAAGCAGUGUCAGUCCUCCCAACUCUGAGGCUCCCUCAGCCAGGGUGUGAGGGCUGCUGACAGCAGGAGGUCACAACAGCAGGGUAUCAUGCUGCUUACUGCCUGGGAAUUUGGUGUAACACGAGGGGUUUGGACAGAAGAGUCAUAUGCUGUAGGCUGUGGUAAUCCUCUGCAUUUGGUUUCACAUUAAUUUUGUACCCUGUGGGGUUUGUUCCGAGUUUCAUAGUCACCUUCUGAAAAUGAGUGAGUUUUGGCCUUCUACCAGCGAAAGCCAAAAUCUCCUUCAUCCUCAGCCCAAAGGACUUGGUUGGAAGGAGGGAAGGAGCAGAGGGGGAGGGAAGAAGCAGAGGGCAAGGGAACAGGGACCAGGCUGACCUCCUUUUUCAUGUAAGGGGACCAGCUGGGAACACAGACAACCCAACUGCUUCUGAAAGCUGCCUGCUCCCCUUCCCUUUCCAGAAACCCUCUCUGUUCUCAGGAGGGGGAAGUAGCUCUUGAGGCAGCUUCUCUCCAGGCUGGGAGAAGCUGGAGGUCAUGUAGUCAGGAACAACUUUGAUGCUGUCAGGAUGGAGCUGUGAAGCCUUGACCUGUGACUGUAGCCUGCCUCCUAGUCUUCCUGAGAUGAAAUUGUGAUGCGGAGCAACACCAGGAAUAACACCAAUCAUUUAACAGGGGUGUGGACUUAGUACUAGUUUCUAACUCUGACUUAUCCCUGACCUGUUUUGUGAUGCUGGGAGAGCCAACAGCCUGUCAUGAGCCCUGUUAUCCCUGAGAGUAUUCCCAGGUUAUUCCUUGUUUUGCUAGGUGGUGAUGAAACCCACGGGAUGACUACAGUGCAGGCUUGGGGGGCUGGAAUUUCUGAAACAGAGUCUGAAGACUUUGAGGAUGGUGGUGGGAUUUGAGCAGGUCCUGUCCUCAGCUGGGACUCCAUUUCUGCCAUUGUCAGCAGAGGAAAGCCACGCUGCAUCAUUGGAAAACUGCUGAAAAUGGCUCUGAUAGCCCAAUAGAGGGAAAGAGUAUUGGACAAAAGGGUGAUGCCCAAUUUUGGGGCAUGGCCGUUGGAAGGAAUGCCCUGGCAGUGCUCCAGGCAUAAAACCCCACCUUGUCACAGUGGAUGCUUUUCAUCCAGCCUUUCAGAGACAUCACAUCAGUUUAGUUUAGUAAAUAUUUCAACAGCGUUUUGAAGUUCCAAUGAAAACAGAGAAAACCUUUGAUGUCUACAAGACCCUUUAUCCCACGACACGUCUCACUCCGUGCUUUUCAGCAACAUUGUUUAGUCAGGGCUUGCUGAGGCCAAAGGGAUGCAAGGUGCAAAAUCUUAGGCCCACUGAAGUCAGUAGAAAAUUUUCCCUGUUAUGGUGAGGCCAGGUGCAUGCUGAAGUAAGUAAAGACAGCGAUUUUAGUUUCUCUGUUUCUCUCAUUAAAAAAAAAAAAAAAAAAAAAAAAAAAGAAGAGAGAAUUCUGGUCAGAAAACAAGAACCUCUCAAAAAAUACCUAAAUGAAAUGACCAUCAUGUGUGAGGAAUUGUUUUCUUAAAUUAUUAUUAAUUUCUUUUUUCAGGAAGGGUUGUCUUGGAGAGAACCAAAUUGAGAACUUUUUUUUUGAUGGCCAGCCUGGAAAUCUGUGCCUCACUGAAGCAGUUGUUACAAGUGCCUUCUGGAUGGAUGGGCAUGGAUUUUUCAUGUUGGUUUUCCGAACAGAAUCUUUUUUAAACAAAAAUAUUAUUCUCCUGCUGAAAAUGCAUGUUCUGUUAUAUGGAUAUUUUGUGCAUAUUAAUCAUUCCAGGAAAAAUUCCUAACCAACAAGUCUCUUCAAUGCCUUACUUAUUUUCCUUCUUUGUGUUUUGUUUUUCAAAUGUAAAUAUUAACAGUAAUUUCUAGGGCUCACAGGGAGGCUCCUAGGUUUAAUAAAGACUGUGUUGUGAGUCUUUGC